rnacentral:ncRNA from 1 species
CACAACUCUGGAGAGUCCCUUAUGGGCGCCGAAGGUGGAAAAGAAGCAAUUCUUGAGUCUCUCAGGCCAAAGGACAGAGCAUU